UUCAAUUCGAACGUUUCGUUCGCUCUCAGCUUUCCAGUCCGUUUCGAACCAAUUGGUUGGGCUAGUUGGGGGCAGCCAUGGAAGAUCAGACUUCACUGUUCUGCAUGCGUUGGGGGUUGUCGAUUUUCGUAUGGGGAGGCACGCUGCUAAUCCAGCCACCCUUUUGGUCUUUAUCUCAUCAGUUUUCCUCUCACAUGUUGCGUUUGUGUGUUGCCGUUCCAGCUGCGCUUCAUCCUUCUUCUCACUGUACAGGUUUAGCUCAAAGGAUUUCUGGGUUUUGUGAAAAAAGAUAUGAAGGAGGCUGCGUCGGAGGCAGCCCCUCGAAAUGACCGGUCGAAUUGGAGACUGUUUCGUUUCGAUGAAUUUUGGGCUCUCACAUGUGUCUGCGAAAUUGCAAACCUUUCUUUUGUAUUGGGGUUCCAAUUUUCUAAAAUAAGUUCUCCCUAAGGUGAUAAGUUUUUCCUCUCUUUUUUAAUUUUUACUCUGAUGUCUGUGUCCAAAACAAUAUUUUUUUCAUAGUACGUUUUGUGCAAUGUACAGAUAUAUUAUAGGAAUGAAUCUGUCUUUUCAACAAACCGCAAGAGUUACAUAUUCUUUUUCUUCCAAUAAUUGGAGUAGGCAAGUAGCAAAGGAUAAACUAUCAAAAUUGAAGGUAGGUUACGAGAACCCAAAUUAUUGUAAAAUUUGAUUUGUAAAGAUUUAAAAGUAUGUUAGAUUGACAAUGAAAAAGUGAAAGAUCAAUUACAGAGAAACGGGUGGCGCAAGUGGUCUUGAUUGUUGCAUGUCUUCCUUAUGUGUGCGUAUUCUGUCCGCAAUUCUCUAUUUCAUGAUUGAUUUGAUUAUCAGUUUUUAUCCUUUGGGUUUGUUGGGAUGUUAAUAAAGUUUUGUGCUUUUGCAAAAUAUUGGUUCAUCCUUUCAAUUUAUAUGAUAUGAAUGUGUCCUAUAGUAUGCAUAUUUUAGAUUUCUUAUUUGAUGAGUCAUGAGCUGAAAUGGGAUGUGCCACAAUUUGGUACAUACAUGCUGCCACUAAGCUAUGGUUUGAUUUGAUAUUUGUGGAAAUUUUGCAACACAUUUAUAGAUUCGUACAUACUGACCUUUAAGAAUGAAAAUUUCCUUUUAUGGCAACCCAUAACAAAUACCAGUGUAGCUUGCAAGGCUUGGAUUGUGCAUCAAGUAUUGAAGAGCUUGGAUUGUGCAGCAAGUACUGAAGUUGUUGUGCCACUGGAACACCAAGGAGUUUGUAAGUGAAAGAAGCUACCAACAAAGGGCUAAUCUUUUGCAAGUGGUGACUCAGAUUUUUGUUUUUUGUAUGCUAAAUGAUUCUUUGGCACUUCUUACUUUGGCAUUUAAUUAACUACCAUACAUUUGGUUUGUGGUGAUAUUUGGUUGAUUCUGUUUAUUUGCUUUCUUGGGAAACAGAGGAAGAAGAAGGAAAAGUAAAAAUGGUAUCUAACAUUCAAAAACUUUUAUGCUCUUGUUCUCUGUUUUGGAAACACUUGCUUUGGUCUCCAACAAAAGCAAUCAAUUCCUUAAUUGUUGUUAGGGUCACCCUAAAUUGUGUAAUGAUCUAUUGUUUUUAAUAUUUGCUUUUUUAUUAUUUUUUUCCUUUUAUGUUCAUGUGUUUUUAUACAAAUUUUGUGUAAUAUUUACUGAUUUGGUGAUGUCAUGUUAGAGAUGUUCAAAGUUUGAACACUACCUCCAUUAUCUGAAUUCUAAUUCUGAAUUUUAAUUCUUCUCUCUGUCUAAGAACACUACGUACCUCUAUUAUCUGGAAUUGAUUAAGAUUCUUUUUUGCGUUUGUAUUUUGGCUAAUUUUUUCUUUGGGAGUAUUAUGAAAAUCUAUCAACAUAUCCACACCUUCUUCUACACCCUAUUUCUAUGCACAUUCCUCUCAAAAACUUAAAUGCUUUAUGCUCCACCGUAGCCUUCGGUAGUUUUCUCUGCUUUCACUUGGUUCCAUUUUAAGUUUUAACUUUUUUUUAAAAAUCUUUAUUGUAAAUUUGUUACUUUAAAUCCUUAAUUUUAGGAUUACUUAUGGUUUAUUUUUAUACCUUAUAAUGAAUUGAGAUGUGGACAAUGAAUGUGUUUCUUCCUUCAUAGUUGUGCUUAAAAUGAUAUUUCUCUUGAUAUCUUUUCUUUGGUAUAUAGGUGACAUGAAGUAGAAACAGGGAAGGAAAUCUCAUAUGAAAUGGGUAUUUUAUGUUGGAGUUUUUGCAAGAUGUUAACCGUGUACGAGAGAGUCGAGAAGAGGCUGUGAGUAGAAUGAGGUUCUUUGCAGGCUAGACAAGGUUGAAAAUGGUUUUUUUUUUGUUCUUUUUCCUGUUUUCGUUCGAAACUUUUAUUCACUUAUUCUCCCUGAAUUUUAUGUUCGAAGUAGUUAAAUUUUCGUCUUGAAUAGUUUAUUUGUAUUUCUUGAUUUGAAUGAAAGUUUGGUAUUUCAUCCUUC